GGGAUAGAAUUCCAGGAGUAGCGGUGAAAUGCGUAGAUAUCUGGAGGAAUACCAAAGGCGAAGGCAGUCCCCUGGUCCGAUACUGACACUGAGGUACGAAGCGUGGGGAGCAAACAGGAUUAGAUACCCUGGUAGUCCACGCCCUAAACGAUGUCGAUUAGCCAUUGGAAGGACCCCUUUUCCUUUCAGUGACGUAGCUAACGUGUUAAAUCGACCGCCUGGGAAGUACGACCGCAAGGUUAAAACUCAAAGGAAUUGACGGGGACCUGAACAAGCGGUGAAUGAUGUGGAUUAAUUCGAUGCUACGCGAAGAACCUUACCUACCUUUGACAUGGCCAAAGUUCUACCGAGAGGCGGAAGUACUCGUAAGAGGAUUGGCGCACAGGUGCUGCAUGGUUGUCGUCAGUUCGUGUCGUGAGAUGUUGGGUUCAGUCCCGCAACGAACGCAACCCUUAUCUUUAAUUGCUCCUAUUUUAACGGGCACUUUAAAGAAACUGCCAAUGAUAAGUUGGAGGAAGGUGGGGAUCACGUCAAGUCCGCAUGGCCUUUAUAGGUAGGGCUUCACACGUCAUACAAUGGUUAGAACAAAGAGCUGCAAAUUCGUAAGAAGGAGCCAAUCUCACAAACCUAACCUCAGUUCGAAUUGCGGUCUGCAACUCGAGCGCAUGAAGCCGGAAUCGCUAGUAAUCGUGGAUCAGAAUGCCACGGUGAAUACGUUCUUAGGUCUU
rnacentral:rRNA from 1 species